GAUGAGUUGACUCACUCUGGUUGUUAGGAGGACCCAGCGGACCAGAUGAUGAUCCUGCUUUCAGGAGUGACACAUCCUACCCGUGCACUCUGGACAAGCCUUUGGAUGUCACCACCUCUGUCUGGGCUACAAGCUAUUGGCAAGUCUUCCAGCUGAAAGUGCCAGUUGCACAGUCCCAAGGCGCUCCACAGCAUUCCCAGGUCGCCGACAGUUGACUCCAGAGACUGCUUGCUUCCAAGCCAGACUGUUGGAAACUCUGUGAUGUUCCAAGCAAGACGCCUGGAGUAAUAAGCGACAGAGGACGUAGAAUGCAGGCGUUGACUCUCAGGCAAGUAACUUGGUGCUGCACCGCUUGCCACCACCCGAGGCUUCCCUGUGCGACAGAGGAGAUGGCUGACAUGCGAGUGUGCCGUGACACGUAGACUGAUUGUUCUCAGUGUUUCAAAAUGACAUCUACAAGCCCUGUAGCAGGUUUCGGAGGCCCAGAUCCCUGGGGUACAAAAGGGAGUCGAGCUCCUUCGCUUCCUUUCCUGGACGCCUUCCUUCCCAGGAAUAAAGAGCACAGGAAAGAUUUUAAUGGCCUUUGGCUGAUAAAUGGAUAUAAUUAUUAUUCUUUAAAUGGAAACAACUCACUCAAAGACUUUUCGGAUGACUUUUGAAAGAACAAACAAGCAAUUUUAUGCCGGUAGCUUGGGUAGUUCUGUGUUACAAAUCCCCUUUCCAUUCAUUUACCAGUUUCCUGUCUUUUCCAUUAGACUCCUAUUCCUGUUGACUUCGCUUUUCGUUUACCUAGAAAAGCUUAGUUCAUCUAAAAAUGGGGGACU